AUUGAACGCUGGCGGCAUGCCUUACACAUGCAAGUCGAACGGUAACGCGGGGCAACCUGGCGACGAGUGGCGAACGGGUGAGUAAUGCAUCGGAACGUGCCCGGUAGUGGGGGAUAACUGCUCGAAAGAGCAGCUAAUACCGCAUACGACCUGAGGGUGAAAGGGGGGGAUCGCAAGACCUCUCGCUAUCGGAGCGGCCGAUGUCGGAUUAGCUAGUUGGUGGGGUAAGAGCCCACCAAGGCAACGAUCCGUAGCUGGUCUGAGAGGACGACCAGCCACACUGGGACUGAGACACGGCCCAGACUCCUACGGGAGGCAGCAGUGGGGAAUUUUGGACAAUGGACGCAAGUCUGAUCCAGCCAUGCCGCGUGCGGGAAGAAGGCCUUCGGGUUGUAAACCGCUUUUGUCAGGGAAGAAAUCUUCUGAGUUAAUACCUCGGGAGGAUGACGGUACCUGAAGAAUAAGCACCGGCUAACUACGUGCCAGCCGCCGCAGUAACAC
rnacentral:rRNA from 1 species